GAUGAACGCUGGCGGCGUGCCUAAUACAUGCAAGUCGAGCGAACGGACGAGAAGCUUGCUUCUCUGAUGUUAGCGGCGGACGGGUGAGUAACACGUGGAUAACCUACCUAUAAGACUGGGAUAACUUCGGGAAACCGGAGCUAAUACCGGCUGAUAUUUUGAACCGCAUGGUUCCAAAGUGAAAGACGGUCUUGCUGUCACUUAUAGAUGGAUCCGCGCUGCAUUAGCUAGUUGGUAAGGUAACGGCCUACCAAGGCAACGAUGCAUAGCCGACCUGAGAGGGUGACCGGCCACACUGGAACUGAGACACGGUCCAGACUCCUACGGGAGGCAGCAGUAGGGAAUCUUCCGCAAUGGGCGAAAGCCUGACGGAGCAACGCCGCGUGAGUGAUGAAGGCCUUCGGAUCGUAAAACUCUGUUAUUAGGGAAGAACAUAUGUGUAAGUAACUGUGCACAUCUUGACGGUACCUAAUGAGAAAGCCACGGCUAACUACGUG
rnacentral:rRNA from 1 species